rnacentral:lncRNA from 1 species
CUCCAGAAGGGGCCGGAGACCAAAGGUCAGCCAUGUGGGCCAUAUGUGAUCAAGCUCCAGUAAAAACUCUGGACACCAAAGGCUUGGAUUCUCAUAGCUGAUGGAUUACGUAUAAAGGACCUAAAGAUUCUACAAUAUCCUAACGGUGCUGAAGAAUCGCCUUGAUGGAAUAAGAACCAUUAGGUGGCAGCACAGGGCGUAUCUUGUCAAAUCUUUCUACAAUGGGCUGGCAGAUGUGAGGCACCAAACUGUCUAGCAAGGGAUAACUUAGAACCAUAUCAGGGCAAGCACUUGGGCUGAGACCAGCGAGAGGAUAAGAGCCGGCCAAGAGGCUCCCAGUCUCACUGUGCUGUACUUUCAUAGGAUCGUUCCAGCGCAUCAUAUGUUGCUGUGGUUGCACAUGCCUAUAACUUCAUCAUAUGUUACGUAUUUUGGUUUAGUCGUUGGUUCUCAUGAGAAUUCUUCAGAUGUGCUCACCAACAUGUAAACUUUUUUCUUUGGAUGCAAACAGUCAUAGUGGAAAGUGUGGAGCUGCCAGGAGAGAGGAGGGGUUGCAUCAUAUGGUGACAAAAGAAUGAAUCCCACCCAGAGGAAGCAGAGCCAAGAAAUGGAUCCCUGUUGUUUGAGUCCUGGAUCAAAUCGUGCCUGGAUCCCCAGUGAGCCAAUAAAUUUUCCUUAUUGCUUCA